UGUGGACAUGGUGUCUGCAUGGACAUGGACAUGGACAUCUCCCUCUUCCAGCCCUGCUGGUGGCUCUUGGCUGGCUCAGGGUUGUGGUGCUCAUGGUGGGUGAGAAGAUGGCUCUCCUGCGGGACAGCUGAACGGUGCUGGGUCUGCCAGCAGAAAGAAGCUCUUCAAGAAGCCCAGGCCAUGAUGCAGAGAAAGCGAGAUGAGCUGGCUCGUAUCGUUGCCACCUCCGCUGCUUUUUUAAUUUUUUUUUUUUUAAUUUGGGUUUAUUCAUAAAAUACCAAAGGCAAGAUUUUGCCCAGCCUUCAGCCUGCGCUCGGCAGUGCCUGUUAACUCGCCCGGACCUUGGAGUCGCCCCAGAGCCUCCUGCAGCCAGCGGACGUCGCGUGACGGUGCCGGGUGGGCACCGGCCCAAGCCCGCCGUGGCUUGAGGCUGGGCGAGCGCAGCCUCAGCCUCUCCCUCCCACCUCCUCCGCUCAAGGCGUGCACCAGAAAGAUGGGGAAAGACCUGGAAAGUUGGUUGGAGGCUGGAGAGGCACCAGUGGCGCUCGCCUGGGAACGGACGGUGCCGGGUCUGAUGGGCCGCUUUCCUUCAGCCUUAAUGCGGAGCAGUUCACAAAUGGUGUGAGCCGCCGUGCCUGGAGCACGUCCCCAAAAAGCACGUCCCCGUCCUCCGAAGGACAAGGUUAUCAGGGGUUAACGCACGGAUGACAGCGCUGGAGCCUCUGGAGCGGAGCAGGCUGCCUGCCAGACUAGGAGCCUCGCGGCUGCCUCACACAUCAUCUGACCGUGGCAGAGCGCGGCCGGGCCAGCGGCGCGGGGAGGGGGAGGCCCGCGCUUGGCACCGGCCCCGCGGCUCUCGGCCCCUUGCCCCCCGUGGGCCUUUGAAGCGGGCUCUCACCCUGAGGGCAGCCCAGAAGAGAGUGGGACCUGUUGAGUAGUUGCUUUGAACUGCUCCGGGAGCCCAGGGGGGAGUUUCGGUGCUCCCCUAGAUGUCCUCCCAGGAGGGGUUAAAAGCCAGGCGAUGGCAGGAGCGCUCAGCCCGUGUCACUCCAUCCCCCUUCCCAGCAGCGAUCCCUGCUUGAUCCAUUUGCGUCGGCGCCACGGGAUGUUUCCAACCAAGCGGUGCCUUGGGAGCAGUCGGCAAUAAAAUGCAGGAGAAAUCCC